rnacentral:rRNA from 1 species
GGGGAAUAUUGCACAAUGGGCGAAAGCCUGAUGCAGCAACGCCGCGUGAGUGAUGAAGGUCUUCGGAUUGUAAAGCUCUGUCUUUUGGGACGAUAAUGACGGUACCAAAGGAGGAAGCCACGGCUAACUACGUGCCAGCAGCCGCGGUAAUACGUAGGUGGCGAGCGUUGUCCGGAUUUACUGGGCGUAAAGGGUGCGUAGGCGGAUGUUUAAGUGAGAUGCGAAAUACCCGGGCUUAACUUGGGUGCUGCAUUUCAAACUGGAUAUCUAGAGUGCAGGAGAGGAGAAUGGAAUUCCUAGUGUAGCGGUGAAAUGCGUAGAGAUUAGGAAGAACACCAGUGGCGAAGGCGAUUCUCUGGACUGUAACUGACGCUGAGGCACGAAAGCGUGGGUAGCAAACAGGAUUAGAUACCCUGGUAGUCCACGCCGUAAACGAUGAGUACUAGGUGUAGGAGGUAUCGACCCCUUCUGUGCCGCAGUAAACACAUUAAGUACUCCGCCUGGGAAGUACGAU